rnacentral:misc_RNA from 1 species
GAUAUGGGUUUUGAGCCUCAGAUUAGAAAGAUAGUAGAACAAAUGGACAUGCCUCCACCUGGAAGGAGACAGACAAUGCUGUUUAGUGCCACUUUUCCAAAAGAAAUACAGAGACUCGCUUCUGAUUUUCUUUCAAAUUACAUUUUCUUGGCUGUUGGAAGGGUUGGUUCUAGUACUGAUUUAAUUAUUCAAAGAGUUGAAUAUGUUCAUGAGACUGACAAGAGAAGCCAUCUCAUGGACCUUCUUCAUGCACA